rnacentral:rRNA from 1 species
UACGUAGGGGGCAAGCGUUAAUCGGAAUUACUGGGCGUAAAGCGUGCGCAGGCGGUCUUUUAAGUCAGAUGUGAAAUCCCCGGGCUUAACCUGGGAACUGCGUUUGAAACUGGAAGGCUAGAGUGUGGCAGAGGGGGGUGGAAUUCCACGUGUAGCAGUGAAAUGCGUAGAUAUGUGGAGGAACACCGAUGGCGAAGGCAGCCCCCUGGGCUAACACUGACGCUCAUGCACGAAAGCUAGGGGAGCGAACGGG